ACCCUUCCAAAAGCACUCAUCUGGCCUCAACCCCGUGACCCGAUGAGCCGUCGUGAAAGGGCAGAGCAAGAAACAUCGCUUUUGGGUGAAGGAGCAGCAACUUGUGCUGCUUUACUUCAAUCGGCGAUGAGACAGGC